AUACCCCCAGCGUGUCACCAGAGCUCAGCUACUAGAAGCUGCUUGUAAAUCUAGAGGAAGAAUGGCUUGGUGGUUAGAGCUUUAGUUUGGAAGUUGCGGGGCUGGAGAUCAGUUCCUUGCUCUGUAUGGAUUCCCCCUGUGAUCCUGGGAAAGUGACAUGCACCAGCCUUUGUAACCUGAACAGAGGAGCACUUCAGAAAAACUCACUGGACUGGAGCAGAGUGGGACAACACCUGGCUGCUUUGACUUCUAAGGCAACCCAGAAUCACC